rnacentral:rRNA from 1 species
UACAGAGGGUGCUAGCGUUGUUCGGAAUCAUUGGGCGUAAAGGGCGUGUAGGCGGUUUGUUAAGUCAUGUGUGAAAUCCCUCGGCUCAACCGGGGAACGACGCAUGAAACUGGCAAGCUAGAGUACCAAAGAGGGGGGUGGAAUUCCCGGUGUAGCGGUGGAAUGCGUAGAGAUCGGGAAGAACAUCGGUGGCGAAGGCGGCCUGCUGGGCUCUUGCUGACACUGAGGCGCGACAGCGUGGGGAGCAAACAGG